rnacentral:rRNA from 1 species
GACGGAGGGGGCAAGCGUUGUUCGGAAUCACUGGGCGUAAAGCGCGCGCAGGCGGCUUUGCAAGUCAGGCGUGAAAUGCCGGGGCUCAACCCCGGAACUGCGCUUGAAACUGCAAAGCUUGAGUGUCGGAGGGGAUGGUGGAAUUCCGAGUGUAGAGGUGAAAUUCGUAGAUAUUCGGAGGAACACCGAUGGCGAAGGCAGCCAUCUGGACGACAACUGACGCUGAGGCGCGAAAGCGUGGGGAGCAAACAGG